UAUAGUUUUCAUGAUGAAACUUUCGGUGAGAAUUCGGGGUGAUUGGUUUGCUGUUCCUUGUAAGGGUACAGAAAAAAUAUUUUGGUUUGGAGAAGAAUGCUUGAGAAGAUUUUACAAAGCCAAGAACAACGUUGGUCAUGCUAAAGAAAGGGUGUUUGAAAUACGGAAGGCUAAAGGAGGUGCUAUUUUGGAUCGAGAUGACCUUAUUAAAGACGUACUGGAUGAUAAUGAUUUCUUAACAGUCGUUUUGGAGAGUGAUAUGUCAAGUCCCGUGACAGGACCAGCAGAAAUCGUUUAUGUUGAAGAAAAGGUACACCAGCCAGAAUAUUCAAAGACUGUAGAGUAUCUAUCACUGGAUGGUAACAGCCUGACUACUGAUGAUCUCGUUAGAAUUGGUAAAACUGAAUACUUAGUCAAGCUAACUAGUGAAGCAGAAGAAAAUGUCAAGAAAUCAAGAUUGCUUGUAGAGGAUAUACUUGCAACUAAAAAAG